rnacentral:rRNA from 1 species
CAGGCCUAACACAUGCAAGUCGAACGAAGGCUUCGGCCUUAGUGGCGCACGGGUGCGUAACGCGUGGGAAUCUGCCCUUGGGUUCGGAAUAACAGCUAGAAAUGGCUGCUAAUACCGGAUGAUGACGUAAGUCCAAAGAUUUAUCGCCCAAGGAUGAGCCCGCGUAGGAUUAGCUAGUUGGUGAGGUAAAGGCUCACCAAGGCGACGAUCCUUAGCUGGUCUGAGAGGAUGAUCAGCCACACUGGGACUGAGACACGGCCCAGACUCCUACGGGAGGCAGCAGUGGGGAAUAUUGGACAAUGGGCGAAAGCCUGAUCCAGCAAUGCCGCGUGAGUGAUGAAGGCCUUAGGGUUGUAAAGCUCGUUUACNCCGGGAUGAUAAUGAC